rnacentral:rRNA from 1 species
GACGUACGCUGGCGGCGUGCCUAAUACAUGCAAGUAGAACGCUGAAGGAGGAUAUUUCUAUUCUGUGGAAGUUGCGCACGGGUGAGUAUCGCGUAGGUAACCUGCCUGGUAGCGGGGGGGAACUCUUGUAAACGAUAGCUAAUACAGCAUAAGAGUAGAUGAUACAUGACAUUUGCUUAAAAGGUGUAAUUUCAUCACUACCAGAUAGACCUGCGUUGUAUUAGCUAGUUGGUGGGGUAAAGGCUCACCAAGGCGACGAUACAUAGCCGACCUGAGAGGGUGAUCGGCCACAUUGGGACUGAGACACGGCCCAGACUCCUACGGGAGGCAGCAGUAGGGAAUCUUCGGCAAUGGACGGAAGUCUGACCGAGCAGCGCCGCGUGAGUGAAGAAGGUUUUCGGAUCGUAAAGCUCUGUUGUUAGAGAAGAACGAGUGUGAGAGUGGAAAGUUCACCCUGUGACGGUAUCUUACCAGAAAGGGACGGCUAACUACGUG